rnacentral:lncRNA from 1 species
UAAACCACUUGACUUAAACAAAAUUAAAACCACAUCACAUGGGGGACCACACUACAAGACCACUUUAACAGCAUAUGCAUAAAAAAAAUACACCGACAAAACUACAAAUAUGGCAGACCACAUCACUAAAUCAAACAUGGGGGACCAUUAUCGAAAGUAAAAAUACAAUUGUAUAUGCCAAAUUAUCGAAAUAACACAAUAUACUAACCUUAACACGUGCUUGAAGUGAAACCAAAUUCUCCAGACCUUUCCAUGACAAAACCACCGAUAGAUGAAGAUUUUCACCCAAAACCUGCCUUUUUGUCAGCCUAAUUUCUGAUAUAAAGCAUCGCUCACCGCUGUUCCCCAAUUCCCGACCACCACGAACCGUAUUUCCCCAAUUUCGCACACGACCAAUUUCUCCAAACCUAGAUUCUUUUAAUCAACUCAUAUCACUUUUCCCAAUUUCCCCAUUUUACCCUUACUUAAACUUAAAGCACAUGUUAUUAAAAUUUUAAUCC